GACGAACGCUGGCGGCGUGCUUAACACAUGCAAGUCGAGCGGAGCGGCGAACGGGUGAGUAACGCGUGAGUAACUGCCCCCCUCUCUGGGAUAACAGUUGGAAACGGCUGCUAAUACCGGAUAGUGGGAGAUGAAUCGCGUCCUAUCAGCUUGUUGGGUGGGUAGUGGCCUACCAAGGCGACGACGGGUAGCCGGCCUGAGAGGGGGACCGGCCACAUUGUGCUGAGAGACGGCCCAAACGCCUACGGGAGGCAGCAGUGGGAAAGAGUGCGCAAUGGGGGAAAGCGUGAGGCAGCAACGUCGCGUGCGUGAUGACGGCCUUCGGGGGGUAAACCGCUUGCAGCCAUGACGCGGUAGUGGCAGAAGAAGCACCGGCUAACUACGUGCCAGCAGCCGCGGUAAUAC
rnacentral:rRNA from 1 species